AGAGUUUGAUCAUGGCUCAGAUUGAACGCUGGCGGCAGGCUUAACACAUGCAAGUCGAGCGGAGAUGAGGUGCUUGCACCUUAUCUCAGCGGCGGACGGGUGAGUAAUGCUUAGGAAUCUGCCUAUUAGUGGGGGACAACAUUCCGAAAGGAAUGCUAAUACCGCAUACGUCCUACGGGAGAAAGCAGGGGAUCUUCGGACCUUGCGCUAAUAGAUGAGCCUAAGUCGGAUUAGCUAGUUGGUGGGGUAAAGGCCUACCAAGGCGACGAUCUGUAGCGGGUCUGAGAGGAUGAUCCGCCACACUGGGACUGAGACACGGCCCAGACUCCUACGGGAGGCAGCAGUGGGGAAUAUUGGACAAUGGGGGGAACCCUGAUCCAGCCAUGCCGCGUGUGUGAAGAAGGCCUUAUGGUUGUAAAGCACUUUAAGCGAGGAGGAGGCUACUGAGACUAAUACUCUUGGAUAGUGGACGUUACUCGCAGAAUAAGCACCGGCUAACUCUGUGCCAGCAGCCGCGGUAAUACAGAGGGUGCGAGCGUUAAUCGGAUUUACUGGGCGUAAAGCGUGCGUAGGCGGCUUUUUAAGUCGGAUGUGAAAUCCCCGAGCUUAACUUGGGAAUUGCAUUCGAUACUGGGAAGCUAGAGUAUGGGAGAGGAUGGUAGAAUUCCAGGUGUAGCGGUGAAAUGCGUAGAGAUCUGGAGGAAUACCGAUGGCGAAGGCAGCCAUCUGGCCUAAUACUGACGCUGAGGUACGAAAGCAUGGGGAGCAAACAGGAUUAGAUACCCUGGUAGUCCAUGCCGUAAACGAUGUCUACUAGCCGUUGGGGCCUCUGAGGCUUUAGUGGCGCAGCUAACGCGAUAAGUAGACCGCCU
rnacentral:rRNA from 1 species